rnacentral:tRNA from 1 species
UCCUCAGUAGCUCAGUCGGUAGAGCAGCUGACUGUUAAUCAGCGGGUCGUUCGUUCGAGUCGAACCUGGGGAG